GGGGGCGAACUGGGUUCGACCGGACGGAUUGAAGCGCAAGUGGCGUGUCGUGGUUGGUCAGCUGGCCACGUUAAAAAGCCGACCAAUACCUUCAAUUGCCGAAGGUUCCUAUGCUUUGGCUGCCUAGUUAAAUAGGCAUCCCCGACUGCGGGGCUCCCGCUGGAGAGGCCCAAAAGUCGGUUGACAAUUCCAGCUCGCCUCGGGUCACUGCUGGGCACGCCCGAGGUUAAAAACCGUUCCCGGCUGGCUCGAAGCGGACCCUGCCGAUGGGGGCUGCCAGAGCGAGACUCAAACUAUCGGCUACACACGUAGAAGCUGGCGUGGAAACGUUUCGGGACGCGGGUUCGAUUCCCGCCGCCUCCACUU
rnacentral:tmRNA from 1 species